AUGUUGUUUAUGCACAUCCAGAAGAACUGCAAAGUCAAGCAAAAAUCAGUACUUACACGGUAAUUCAGUUUUUUUUUAUAACUUUUGUCCCCAUUAUGCCACACCAAUAUAUUCAUCUGGUUGGAAAAAGAUCGUGUAUUUUAUAUAACCUUCAUAAACACGUUUUCUUGAAAUUCUUUAAAUAUUUUUUUUCGCUACUACAUUAUUAUUUUCUUAUUUUUGUGCAGAUUGGUCCGUUUGAAACAUCUAAUGGUCAGCGUGCGAAGCUGAAAGGCAAAUUUUGUUUAAAUCUUCAUGGAAUCGUGUCUUUGAAUUCAGCUACUGUAUGUGUUUGCUCAAUUUUUUAAAUAAAUAUUUUUUAAUCUUUUAAUAAUUAAUCUUAUUGGUUCUAUAUUUUGUAAGUAGAUUUAUUCGACUCUUUUACAUAAUCAUAUUUAUCUUUUAAACAUUUCCUCUAAUUUAGAUGCUAGAGAAAGAGGAAGCUGAUGUCCCUAUUCCAGUUUCAAAUGAAACCUUGAAGAUGGAGUCAGAUGUGUCGUCAAAUAAUCCCAUUUCAGCAGAUACUGAUGUUAAAAUGCAAGAUUCUUUAAAUUCUACAGUUGAAAAUGGUUCAGCAGAUGUCAAUAGGAAACCUGAUGAAAAGUCUGCCCAGGUUGAAAUGAACAGCAAGGUUAAGUUAGGAUCCUUCACUCUAGUUGUUUCUGUCUUUUGCCUAUGUUUUAUCGAGGGGUGAGUUUUUGCUUAAUAAAUAGAUGUGUCUCCAUCUUUAUCUUUUGCAUGCAUCUUUUGAUUUUCAGCCUGUACCUUCCAAGAAGAAGAUAAAGAAAAUAAGUAUUCCAGUUUCCGAGAAGGUAUAUGAUGCAAUGUCUGCAGCUAAUCUAGAGAAAGCAAAAGAGGAGGAAUACAAGAUGGCCUUUCAGGACCGAGUUAUGGAAGAAACAAAGGAUAAGAAAAAUGCUGUGGAAGCUUAUGUCUAUGAUAUGAGAAACAAGGUAGAAUCGUAGAACCAUACUUAAUAUCAAGUAUCAUGAAAGUUUUCUAUA
rnacentral:lncRNA from 1 species